rnacentral:rRNA from 1 species
AUUGAACGCUGGCGGCAUGCUUUACACAUGCAAGUCGAACGGCAGCGCGGGCUUCGGCCUGGCGGCGAGUGGCGAACGGGUGAGUAAUACAUCGGAACGUGCCCAGUAGUGGGGGAUAGCUCGGCGAAAGCCGGAUUAAUACCGCAUACGACCUGAGGGUGAAAGCGGGGGAUCUUCUGACCUCGCGCUAUUUGAGCGGCCGAUGGCAGAUUAGCUAGUUGGUGGGGUAAAGGCCUACCAAGGCGACGAUCUGUAGCUGGUCUGAGAGGACGACCAGCCACACUGGGACUGAGACACGGCCCAGACUCCUACGGGAGGCAGCAGUGGGGAAUUUUGGACAAUGGGCGAAAGCCUGAUCCAGCAAUGCCGCGUGUGUGAUGAAGGCCUUCGGGUUGUAAAGCACUUUUGGCGGGAACGAAAAGGACUGUGCCAAUACCACGGUUCGAUGACGGUACCCGCAGAAUAAGCACCGGCUAACUACGUG